rnacentral:tmRNA from 1 species
GGGGCCGAUUUUGGAUUCGACGGGGAUGAUAAAGUCUUAGGUGCAUGUCGAGGGGCGGUUUGCCUCGUUAAAAGCCGCACAUUAAUAGUCGCAAACGACGAAAACUACGCACUAGCAGCUUAAUAACCUGCUAGAGCCUAUCUGCCCUAGCCUCUGCCCGUAGGACGGGGAGUUCAGAUAGUCAAACCCAAACGGGAUCGUGUGGACGCCAUGCCUGAUGGCCGAAGCAUUAAAUCUAAUUCAGGAUAGUCUGUGCGUGGCGUGUCUGUCCGCAGCGUACCGGCGAAUGUAAUGAUUGACUAAGCAUGUAGUACCGAGGAUGGCGCAUUCACGGACGGGGGUUCAACUCCCCCCGGCUCCACCA